rnacentral:rRNA from 1 species
GUUUGAUCAUGGCUCAGAUUGAACGCUGGCGGCAGGCCUAACACAUGCAAGUCGAGCGGUAGCACAGGGAGCUUGCUCCUGGGUGACGAGCGGCGGACGGGUGAGUAAUGUCUGGGAAACUGCCUGAUGGAGGGGGAUAACUACUGGAAACGGUAGCUAAUACCGCAUAACGUCGCAAGACCAAAGAGGGGGACCUUCGGGCCUCUUGCCAUCAGAUGUGCCCAGAUGGGAUUAGCUAGUAGGUGGGGUAAUGGCUCACCUAGGCGACGAUCCCUAGCUGGUCUGAGAGGAUGACCAGCCACACUGGAACUGAGACACGGUCCAGACUCCUACGGGAGGUAGCAGUGGGGAAUAUUGCACAAUGGGCGCAAGCCUGAUGCAGCCAUGCCGCGUGUAUGAAGAAGGCCUUCGGGUUGUAAAGUACUUUCAGCGAGGAGGAAGGCAUUGUGGUUAAUAACCACAGUGAUUGACGUUACUCGCAGAAGAAGCACCGGCUAACUCCGUGCCAGCAGCCGCGGUAAUACGGAGGGUGCAAGCCUUAAUCCGGAAUUACUGGGGCCUUUAA